rnacentral:rRNA from 1 species
CCUACGGGGGGCUGCAGUAAGGAAUAUUGCGCAAUGGGCGAAAGCCUGACGCAGCGACGCCGCGUGGGGGAUGAAGGUCUUCGGAUUGUAAACCCCUUUCGGGAGGGAAGAUGGAGCGAGCAAUCGUUCGGACGGUACCUCCAGAAGCAGCCACGGCCAACUUCGUGCCAGCAGCCGCGGUAAUACGAAGGUGGCAAGCGUUGUUCGGAUUCACGGGGAGUACGUGGUGGGGGUUCGGUAAGGUAUGGGUUAAAGCGUCGGGCCCAACCCGGAAAGCGCAGAGGGUACUGCCAGGCUAGAGGGUGGGAGAGGAGCGCGGAAUUCCCGGUGUAGCGGUGAAAUGCGUAGAGAUCGGGAGGAAGGCCGGUGGCGAAGGCGGCGCUCUGGAACAUACCUGACGCUGAGACACGAAAGCGUGGGGAGCAAACAGGAUUAGAUACCCGGGUAGUC